rnacentral:lncRNA from 1 species
UUUAUUUCACACUUCUCUUUCAAUAUUGUGUUGUCACGUGUCUCACUAAACUAUUUAAUAACUUCCAUUUUCUCUCUCAUGUUCCCUCUUCUCCUCACUUUUCCAAAAAAUUUCCAUUAUUUUUCCUAUCAUCUCUCUUAUCCUCUAUAUUUUUCCAAACCCUAACAAUGUCGUCACCCCUUUCUCCAUCUUAUAUACGGUCACCACCACCUCUAAUGAAAA